rnacentral:rRNA from 1 species
GACGAACGCUGGCGGCGUGCCUAAUACAUGCAAGUAGAACGCUGAAGGAGGAGCUUGCUUCUCCGGAUGAGUUGCGAACGGGUGAGUAACGCGUAGGUAACCUGCCUGGUAGCGGGGGAUAACUAUUGGAAACGAUAGCUAAUACCGCAUAACAGUAGAUGUUGCAUGACAUUUGCUUAAAAGGUGCAAUUGCAUCACUACCAGAUGGACCUGCGUUGUAUUAGCUAGUUGGUGAGGUAACGGCUCACCAAGGCGACGAUACAUAGCCGACCUGAGAGGGUGAUCGGCCACACUGGGACUGAGACACGGCCCAGACUCCUACGGGAGGCAGCAGUAGGGAAUCUUCGGCAAUGGACGGAAGUCUGACCGAGCAACGCCGCGUGAGUGAAGAAGGUUUUCGGAUCGUAAAGCUCUGUUGUAAGAGAAGAACGAGUGUGAGAGUGGAAAGUUCACACUGUGACGGUAUCUUACCAAAAAGGGACGGCUAACUACGUG